GUUGUAAUGUGCAAAGUACUUCUUCUCCCAUCCCAUCCAAUUUGAAGGUGGUCCUGAUUUUUCAGUUUCUAAUAUUUUCAUAUCUUUAAUACGCAUUCUCAAAACAAUCAUAUUCUCAUCCACCAUAUUCUUACUUCUUCCACCACCAUUAUAUUGAUCAAAUCUCGCAUUAAUCACACCUCGCUUCAGGACUACCGAAGGAGGAGAGAUCAACAAUGAAGUCAUUUUUUUUUUUU
rnacentral:misc_RNA from 1 species